AGCCUCAUCAACUGGAAGGGAUUCCUUCCGGUCAAUGAGGUGUAACAACCUCAUCAACCAGAAGGAAUACCUUCCGGUUGAUGAGGUG
rnacentral:miRNA from 1 species